rnacentral:rRNA from 1 species
AGAACGAACGCUGGCGGCAUGCCUAACACAUGCAAGUCGAACGUGAUCCAUGACUUCGGUUGUGGUGAAAGUGGCAAACGGGUGAGUAACGCGUGGGAAUCUGCCCAGAGGUAGGGAAUAACCGCGGGAAACUGCGGCUAAUACCCUAUGUGCCCUACGGGGCAAAAGAUUUAUCGCCUUUGGAGGAGCCCGCGUCGGAUUAGGUAGUUGGUAGGGUAACGGCCUACCAAGCCUACGAUCCGUAGCUGGUCUGAGAGGAUGAUCAGCCACACUGGGACUGAGAUACGGCCCAGACUCCUACGGGAGGCAGCAGUGGGGAAUAUUGGACAAAUGGGGGCGAACCCUGAUCCAGCAAUGCCGCGUGAGUGAUGAAGGCCUUCGGGUUGUAAAGCUCUUUCGGCGGGGAAGAUGAUGACGGUACCCGCAGAAGAAGCCCCGGCUAACUUCGUGCCAGCAGCGC